UCCAAGCCAGCCUUUCCUUCAGCUAGUCUGGGGGACAGACGCCUCCUCUUCUGGGCCAGUGAUGUGGUCAGGCUGCUCCCUCUGGGAGAUCUGCUGCCAGAGCAGAGGAAUCCUACCCCAUGAGCUGGGGAGGAAAUGAGGCUAGUCUUCUUUUAAGAGUGUGGUGAAUCACCCCCAGCCUCCCUGGGAACCAGCUAUACUCUGCACUUGUUAUCUUCUUUGCAUUCCUGCUGACAUCCUGAAUGAGACGAACAAGGUCCUGGGUCCCUACAUGUCAUACUGGCUAGAGACUGGGAAACAGAUUAACUGAGAGAAGCCAUCAAGCCUGAAGAGACAUCGUGUUUGAAAUGUGUAAGGCACAGUGUACCCGCCGUGGAUCAAAACAACCUGAAGGACAGACAGACAGACACACCGAGGAUCAGCAGAUAUCAGUGGGGACAGGUGCUGAUGAUGGUGCAAAUGAGAGUCAUGAAGGAAAGUUAAAUGAUGACCAAAGACCAAGUACCUUCCCCACAAUGCUUUGACAAGCGCUUUUAUAAGCACCCUGGAAUUUAGACACUACCCGGGGAGAAAAGGAAAGGGAGACAAGCAUGAAUUGUCUGAGAAACCCCUGAAUUAAUCAUGUGUACCCCAAUGCAACAAGGAUCUAGAUAUAGAAUAAUUUUAAUUAUAGAAAACAAAAUUAUAUUUUACCCACCCAUAUUUGAUGCCCAUGAAUUUCACAUCUACCUUACGUGCACAUAAAAUUCAAGCUUAGAUAGACGGAAAACAAAAAAUCAAGAAGCAAUAUUUGCCUUCUAAUAACUUAUCUAUUGGAGGAGGUAAAAGAUAGAAAAGUAGUUCAGAUGACAAAUACUAAAAGAGUUAGGAACUUCUGCUUCCACUUACGAUGAAGGAACUUGUACUCAAUCCAUCCACUUUGUAAUUCUCCUUGAGCUGCUGUAAUAAAGUACCACAAACUGGGUGACUUAAAACAACAGAAUUUAUUGUCUCAUGGUUCUGGAGCCUAGAAGUCUAAAAUCAAGGUAUCAACAGAGCUAUGCUUCCUCUGAAACCUGGAAGGAAAUUCUUCCUUGCCUAUUCCUAGCUUCUGUUGAUUUGCUGGCAAAUUUUGACAUUCCUUAACUUGCAGCUACAUAACUUUAAACUCUGCCUUUGGCAUUACAUGGCAUUUUCCCUGUGUGUUUCUGUCUUCCCACGGCUGUCUUCUUACAAGUACAUCAGUCAUAUUAGGAGUCCACAGUGCUCCAGUAUGACCUCAUCUUAACUAGUCACACUUGCAAUGACCCUAUUUUCAAACAGAGUCACAUUCUGAGGUACUGAGGGUUGGGAUGUCAACAUAUCUUUUUCUGGGGGGAUGGUGGGUAUAAUUCAAUCCAUUAUACCCUCCAAUAAUAAACACCUAGAAAACUGGGCAAUAUACGUGAGAUAAUUGUUUUCUAAUAUUGGACAAGAGAUGGCACAAAACUGUGAUCCAUAAGUGAAAGGAGACAAAUGAGGUGCGUGCUGUGAUCAUUUCCGUUUUCUACCCAGAAUUUCCUGGGUUACUGUACAAACAAGAGGGACCCAAGCAGAGCAUGGCACCCUGAAAUUCUUACUGAGCUGAGGACACAGCUCAGAGAAGAGGAGGCCAUGCACGGAAAGAGCCCCGCAAUUUUCAUGAGGUCUCAUUGAGUCUUUGGGUAAAUACUAAGCUGGCAUCCAUUGGGUGAAACUCCACAGGGGCAGGCAAAGAAUAAGUACUGGAGAAUUAACAACUGCUGGUGAACUACAGUAUGAAUAAUUACUAGAUCUUGGUCGAGGCUGAGAGAGAUACAGCUCUGAGCCAUCAGAAUAGCUUUGUUGAAUACCUGGAACAUUGAACAGGUAUCCCAGGAAGCCCAUAACUUAGAGUAGGACUCAAAUGGCAUAGAAUAAGUCUACCGUCCAUUAACCCUAACAAAGCUUAAAAGAGCCCUUGAAAGGAAAAGCAGACAAGUUGACCUGCAAGCAAGUCAACUGCCCACUAGAAUAAAGCUCAACACUCUUUGAGAGAAGAAAACAAAAUUCAGAUAAUAAAAAAGUAACAUUCAUAAUGUUGAGCAUCCAGUCAGAAAUUAUGGGAUAUACUUAAAAGCUGGAAAAUGUGUCUAUGCUAAGUAGUAAUAUUAGGCAAUUGAAAUCAACCCAGAAAUGGCAGAGAUGGUAAAUUAAAAUAAUGGGACUUAUAAAUGGCUAAUAUACUAAAAUGGCUAUUAUUAAAUAUGUUCAAGGAUUUAUAGUGAAACACAACAUAAUGAAGAAUGAAACAGAAACUAUAAAAAAGCUAAAUAGAACUUCUAGAUCUGAAAAAUAUCUGAAAUGAAAAUUUUGCUAGAUAAGCUUAAGUUGGAGUAGACACUAUAGGAGAAAUGUCUAUGAACAGGAAAUCAGGACAACAGAAACUGUCAAAACAAGAGAGAGGAAAAUAAAGCUAAACAACUACAAAAACUGGAAGAGGUCUCAGGGAACUCCCAAACAAUAUCAAGCCACCUAGCACACAUAUCAUUGGAGUCUUCAACAUAGAGGAGAGAAAGUGGUGGCAGAAAACAAUUAUUUUUAAAAUAGUGGCCAAAAUGUUUCAUACAUGAUAAAUAAUAUCCACCUACAGAUCCAGGAAGCUUAGCAAAACCCAAGCAGGAUAAGCUCAAAAAAGUUUGUUUAUGAAAGAGAUUACUUUCAGGUAUGAGGCUCAGUUUAACUUUCACAUAAGAGACAGACUCUGAGAUGGUCCUUGAGAAGUCAUAGGGUUUUAGACUGAUAAAAAUGACAUUAAAAGGCAAGAAAGGAUGAAUGGUACAGAAAUGACCAAAGGUACAGAGGCUGAAAGUACAGGACAUCGGUGAAGAACAGUAAGAAGAUGAACCUAAAGGGAGAGGAAGAGAAUACAUGAAGAUAGGUUACAGUAGAAUUUCCUAAAGCUUAACACAUCUGUGUCUGAGGGAAUUCUAUGAUGGGGUAACAGAGGCUGAAUUUACCCUCAAACCUGAAACAAUUAAAAUGCAUGAAAUAUAUGAAACUCUGGACAACAGAUGGCUCAAGACCGUGAUCCCUGAAAGAAGUGAAAUGAAUAAAGUGAACCCUGUGAUGGCCUCAGUUUAUAGCCUGGAGAUCUUUUUCAGGCAGUAUUAUAGGGAGGAGAAGCCCAAACAGCGCCUGGCAGUCUCUCUGAGUUAAGGAGACUUGCAUUCAGGGUUUGAGGAGGCCAAAAUGGCUAAAAUUCCAGGGAAGAGACCCAGGGAGGAGAAAGCGGUGGGUGGGAAGUGCUCUGGAAUGUGCAUUGGACUCCCAGUGACUCUUCAACUGCUCUGACCAGUGAGUACAAGAAAACAACCUGAGGCUAGGGAGAGACCACUCGAUGGAUCAAGCAGAACCAUCUCAAAGUCCACACGGGGCCGGGAAAAGAUGGUGCUUCCAUCAACCAGAGUGGGAGACCUCCUAACACAGAGGGCAUUGAGGAGAAUUCUCAGAAGCGGAUCACCCCAGUCGCGGGAAGCAAAUUUGCUGUACACUAAAGGCUGUCCUAGAUACAACUUACAAAGCUCCAAAACAAGACUCAGAAAUAUCAAAUUGUUUCUAUGUAAUCUAUCUGCAUCACAAAAUAAAGUCCCAAAUUUAUUUAAGGGAUACAAAUACUCCAGUAGCUAGAAACGUAAAAUUCAAAUAUCUGAUAUCCAAUUUUAAAAAGUCAUAUAUGCAAAGAAAAAGAAAAAUAUGGGUCAUAAGGAGGAGAAAAACACUCAAUAGAAACAGAUCCAGAAAUGAUAUACAUGAUGGAGUUAGCAGACAAGGCUAUUAAAUAUAUAUUCAAUAUGUUCGGCAGGAUAGAAGAGAGUGUACAUAUGUUAAGAAGAGACGUGGAAGAUUUAAAAAAGACUGAAAUAAAACUUCUUCCGAUGCAAAAUACAAUGAAUGUGAUUUUAUAAUAUACUGGAUGGGAUUAACAGCAGAUUAGGUAUCUCAAGUCAAACUUAAAGAUAAGGUAAUAGAAUUCACCUAGGAUAAAAACAGAAAGAAACUGACUUAAAAAAAGUGAGCAGAGCAUCAGUGAGCUGUAGAACAGCAUUAAGCAGCCUAAUAUUGAGAGUCCUAUAAAACUGGAGGACUAAUGCAGAAAAAAGAAAUUGAAUAACUAAUAGCUGAAGCAGUUUUAAAUUUAAUGAAAAGGAAAAGCCACAGAUUGAAGAAGUUUCAUGAACUCCAAGCACAAGUAACAUGAAGAACACUUUAACAAGAUAUAGUAUCAUUGGAUUGCUUAAAACUAAUAAAGAAAAAUCUUGAAAAGCAGCCAGAGAAUAAAAGACACACUAUGUACAAAUGAACACAGUUAAGAAUGACUGCAGUCAUCUCACUAGAAACAAUUCAGGCAAAAGAGUGUGGAGAAACAUCUUUAAAUUAUUUAAAGUAAAAAAAAUCCUCUUAACCUAGUACUCUAUAUCCAGUGAAAAUAUCUUUCAAAAACAUUGGCACAAUAAACUUCUCAGACAUGAAAAAACUAAAAUAAUUCUUUGCCAGGAGACACACACACUAUAAGAAAUGUUAAAGGAUGUCUUUCAGACAAAAUGAAAAAAAGUCCAGAUGGAAUUGGUAAGCCAGCUCCCUGUGAGGGAUAAAAAGGAAAAAAGGGAAAAGCCUGGAUUUAUAGCAUUUUGACCAAUUUUGUGAAUAUAAAUAUUCCCACCAUGGCCAAAUUCAAGCAAACAACAAUUUCUAACAACUGGUUCACAGAAUUUCUGGAUAUUUAACAACUGGGUCCUAUGAGCUGAUACAAACCAACUACAGACUAUUACAGAUAGAAUAUCAUUAGUAAAUAUGUAAUAAAUAUAAAAAACAGUAUUUGUGCCAUUUAAAAAAUCUCUUUAAAAAUAAUUGACUUUCUAUUUCCAGUGAAAACAAAGUAAGGGACAAAAUACAUAAAGCACCAGUUGUCAAGACAUUAGACAUCAGGCAAGGAAGGACAAGAAAAAAUGAGGUGAGUUUUAUAAUAAAACAAGCUUACCACCUUGAGACAAUUUCCAGGCCAUGGCACAGAGAGGGGAAAUCCAGGGGGAAACCAUCAAACUCCUCGAGUCAAGGAGACACAGCUGAGAGGAGAAUAAGUCAAGUAGAGUUCACAGGGCUGAGGAUAGCAGAGGAGAGAAGCGGGCAAAGAGAGAAUUUGUGAGGUCAUCAGAGAGCCCACCCUCAGUAUUCAGUAGGGUAUUAACAAGAGCAUGAGUGUGAAAAAACCACCUGAGAUUGGGAAAAUAACCACACAAAGGAUUAAAGAAAACAGUAACUGAAUUUCAUGUAGGGCCGGGAAUAGUGUAUAGUUUCACCAGCCAAACUCAAAAACAUUAAAAUUCAUGGGGCAUUGGGACAAGAGCUCAGAAGUGUUUGGGCUCAGAAGUGGAGGAUAAUGAUCUCUAAACUAAAUGCUGCUCUGCUGUCAUCUAACAAAUGAUUAAAGCCAGGUACAAAAGCAUCAGAUUAUUUCAAGAAAUGUAACUGUAUUCUAAAACAGGGCUCAAAAAUAUUUAUAGAAAAAUAAAAAGUCCAACACAAAAUUAAAACUCAAUGUAUGGAAUAAAAUAAAAAAAUUACCAAGCAUACAAAAAUAGCAGAAAAAUGCAACGUAUAAUGAAAGGAAAACUGGCACAGAUGUUAGAAUUAGUAAAAAAAUAAUAAUAAUUUAAUUUAAAAAUAAAAUAGUUAAGCUAGAGAUGUUAAGCAGACAUAGAAGAUAUUUUUAAAAGCUGCAAAGCCAACUUCUGGAGAUGAAAAUGACAAUAUCUGAGAUGAAAAAUACACUGGAUGAGAUUAAUGAUAGAUUAGACAAUGUAGAAGAAAAUACUAGUAACCUAGGAAGAUAUAGCAACAAAGGCAAACCAAAAAUGGAGGAUAGAGGAAAUAAAAUAAUUUUUGAAAGGAAACAGACAAUUAAUUGUUACAGGACAACUUAAAGUGAACUAACAUAACUGGGGUUUUAAAAGAAGAGAAGAAAGAUGGGAAGAAAGAAAAAACUAUUGGAAGAAAUCAUGACUGAAAGUUUCUAAAGUCAAUAAAACUCGAACCUCACAUAUCCAAGAAGCCUGACAAAACUCAAGCAUACAUACACAAAAUACACCAAAGAAUAUCAUAAUCAGAUUUCUGAAAAUUAGUGUUAAAGAGAAAAUCUUAAAAGCAGCCACAGGAUAAAAACAUGUUUUGUACAGUAGAACAAGAUAAAGAUGACAGAAGAUUUCUUGGUGAAAACAAAGCAAGUGAGAACACAGUAAAGCAACAUCUUUAAAAUACUGAAAGAAAAAUACUGUCUUUUUGAUAAUGACCAGCCUAACAAAUGUGAGGUAAUAUUUUAUUGUGGUUUUGAUUUUCAUUUCCCUAAUGAUUAAUGAUGUUGAAUACCUUUUCAUAUCCCUUUUGGCCAUUUGAGUGUCUACUUUAGAAAAAUGUUGAAUAAUCAAAAAAGAUGAUUAGUGAUGUUCAGCACCUUUUCAUAUACCUGAUUAUCUUCUUUGGAAAA
rnacentral:lncRNA from 1 species